AGUCUACCAUGCCCGAUACUGUACGAUUAUCAAACAGCGUUAAAAUUGUUAUAUUUACUAUAUUUUGCACAAAUUAUCCGUGUACUACUCCAUUGGCGGUACGUGUGUCAUUAAUUGAGAACCGCUGAUGUAAAGUAUGUUACUUUGCGAUACCUUUGUGGCAUGAGGUGUAUGCUAAUAGAAUCUAUAAAAUAGUAGAAUAAAUUCAUUAAGCGUAACAAUGCUUGAGAACACAUUUUAAAAUUUAAUUUAAAAAUCACGUGCUCGAAUAAUUUUAUUUCCGAGUAGAAAAGUUCUCGAUACUUUGAAACGCUAAGAAACGUAGAACGUCUUUCCUUUCCCUCGAUGGUAUCCAGAAUCUUCCCUUAAUUAUCCUGUACGAUGCGUAAAAUAAUUAUUCCCCCGUUAUUCGCAUGCAAACGAGGGGUUCGAAUAAUAAUCGAACAUGGUUGUAGAGAAGCGAAAGGGGAAUCGGUGGCAAACGGGGAAACGGAGUUGGAAGAGGGGCUGCUGAUAUCAAUAAGCGUCGUAAAUACGUUAUUUUUAGUAAGUCGUCGCGUUUAACCGCGGUUACUAUACUAGCACACCGAGAGAUAUCUUUAAUCGUCGUGAGUCUGUUUGCAAUUCGUGACAUUGAUGUGCAAUUCAUACAAAGUAACUCGUGAUGAAGUAUUACGGAUGGAAGUUUUCCACGGAGCUUUAACAAACGUGUCAGAAGGAUUUUUUAGCCUGGAAUUACAAUUCUAUUCGAAUUUGAUGUUAUACUUUCGAAGCAAUUUCUUAUAAAUAAUAGUGGGUUGUUAUCGACAACCACAUAUAAUAUGGAAGAUCAGAUGUAAGAAACUAGUUGGAAAUAGAGGAAUGCUUUUUAUUGAAUAAAGUCGAUGUCAAAACAUGGCAAAAUAGAAUAAAUAACUAAAUACUGAAUAUAUAAAAAUUCAAUUGCUUGAAAAAGUAAAAACAGUUAACAUUUGGUAAUUUGAAAAAGAAUUGUAUCUAAUAUGAAAUAUCUAAAGAAUUUAUAAAGGAAACUCAAGAAACUUUAUUUUUACUAUUAAAAAUCAGUAUUCUAAUUUUUUUAAAAUUAUUAAAUGUUUAUACCUAGUCCUUUCUUUGUAUAUCUAUGGGUUCUCAGUCAGUUAUCAUUAGAGUGUUAAAUAAUUUCAUAGAACACCCUCUACAAUGAACACAGUGCACAUUUUUUUUUUUUUCAAACUGAGAAAAUACCAUCAUUUGCUUCCCUACAAUAUCUUCGUAGUGUGUAAUUUCGUGUUUCAGUGUUCUUUGUGUAGCGAAAACGCUAGAAGUUUGCAUGUACCAUGUUCUAGGGGUCGCACCGCUUAUUCUUCGCGAUUAAUGCAUCAUCGCGUUCCCGGUUAAACGGCGUGGGUGUAAUUUAUACGAAGUCCGUGUACGAGUUCUCAGGUGACGCGAAAUUCGUUUUAUCAGCGCAUGCUCGCGUGUUCUUUAGCGAACUUAAACAUCGGUGUCUUAUUUUUCUGGAUGGUCCGCUGGUUUUGCACUCGCAAAGAAUUCUCUACGCAAAGAUGCGUCAGGGAUAAUUUGGACGAACAGGUUGAAAGUUUGUUCAUUUCACUGGUAAUCGUGGAUAAACGAAUAUCUGUGCUUCAAAAUGGUUUAAUAAAAUAAAAAAUACAAAGAAGAAUACAAAAGUUUUAGUUCAAGUAUCAUCUGAAUAUGAAGUAUAAUACUUUGAGAAUAUUUUAUUAAUUAAUAGAAUAAUUUAAGUAAAAUUUUUUGCCAGUUUAAAAAAAAAUUCUACGCUCUUAUAAAUAAUGAAUUGUUGAUGAGUUUAUAAUUAUAACACCUAUUAUUCUGAAAUCAGUGGUUGUAGCUGGUAUAAUAAUAAUAAUAAAGUAAUCAUUUCUCAUAAGUUCAAUCAAGAAAAGUAUGCAAUGACAAGUAUUUUUACCAAUUUACCAGUUACCAAUUUUCACCAUGAUCUGAAUGAAAAAAACGUAAAUAAUGUUAAUGAAUAUAACUCAUUCUGUGUCACUGUUUAGGCAAGUUGAUCAACAUUAACAUAACAAAAUAAAACAAAAUACUUCAUCACUUUUACUAACAGCUGUCUGUAUUUGAUUAUUUUUAAAGUUGCAAAUAUGCUUAUCAUUCUUCUAUUACGUCUACAAAUUAAUUAUGUGCCCUUUCAUUUUUUAAAUUGAAAAUUUAUUUUUCAAACGUCAUGUAACUUAAAUAUUAACUUAUUUAACUUCAAUUAUUGAAAUAAUUUUUAUUGCUACCAUAUAUUUCGCACUACUUUUCAAAUACUUACACAGAAGCGUAGGAAAAUAUUCAAGUUUAACAUAGUAAUUAAGAAAACAUAAUACUAGAGGCACCGUAUUAAUUUGUACACCUAAUGCAGUUCACCAAUUAAAAGCUUGACGCAUGGCGUGGCGAAGAACAUGUUUGAAAGAGAAUGAAAUCAGUGCCAGACACUUGGACAAUUCCCCUAGCGAGAGUUCGGUCAGCUAAGUCCGGUCGAUCGACGAGCAACGCGCUACGUUCCGAGUUUGUUUCUGUUGGAAAAACUUGGGUUGAUUCGAAUCCUUCGUCCCGGGGCAAAGUCGGGAGAUUUAAAAUCUUGAGGUCAAGACCGACAUUUGAUUCGCGUAAGUUCGGGAACAUUGUUGGACCUUGAUCCGAACGUGACUCGGUGGUGCUUAUCGAACAACUGCCGCCAUUGAACUCGACCAAAACUCAAGCGACGAUUGUUCGAUCGAGUAGCUGACUGGUCGAUGAGAAAUGCAUUAUCAAAUAGCGGGAAAGAGAAUUAGAGAAGUUCCAAGACUUCAUUAACAGCUCGAGUAAACUAUAGUUUGAAUAUCGUGACUGACUAUAUUGCCGUUCUUGGCUCAAUUACCCUAAUUUGGCAAGCCCUUUAAAUUAAAAAAAAUACAAAAUUCACUUACCUAUAUUCAUUUCAAGGUACGGAUAACUUAAUUCUUUUGAAUAUUUAUUUUUCUCAUUUGACUCAGGGAAGAGUUUUAAAAGCCAGGAACAGUAGAGUAAAUUAGUCGUUAAUGAAUAUAAACGACUCAAGUUGUCCAUGGAAGUUGCAAAAAAUAUUCUUGCCCAUGGAGGCUUAAUAAUGGACUGAAAAAUGAGAAAGAAGUAUAAUAAAAAAUUGAAGAGUUUAACUUAUGAUCUAGGUACAGAUUACUCAUUGAUGAUUGCACGUUAUGACAUUUAGAAAUAAUGAAUAAUAUAUUAUUAGCAGAGGGAGUAUCGAAACGAUGAAGAUCAGACUGUAAAUCUAUUUUCAUAUGUCAUUAAGGCACAGCGAAAACUGAAAGGUAACUUUAAGAUCAUUGAUAUCGGAAGUCGUGCAUAAUUCUCGUGCGAGUGAAAUUUGAAUUUAAUCGGUCUUUGCGUUUUACACUGCUUAGUAAAUGGCAUUCGAUUAACUUUCUGUUCUCGCGAUGGGAGGUCCGAUGUAUCCUGUCAACCGUCCACUUUUUCCUCUUUGAGAUUGAAUUUUGUAACAACGUGAGAAAUUGUUUUCUCCUGCAUUAAUUAUAGUGGAAGGAUGAUUCGGCGGAUUAUUUCUUGAGAUUAGGCUGAAAUAGUAGGAGUCUUCUAUUUUUUUUUUCCUAUAAAUUAUAAAACGAAACUUGGGAGGUAUGCUUCUGAAAAGGUGAAACAGUUUUUUCUUUCUUCUUGAAGUUCCAUUUUUCUUCUUUAUUGUCUGUAUCGUUUUGUCAGUAUAUAAACUGCUAUUUUACGACGUUAUCGCUUCAUCGGCAUUUAUUAUGAAUUUCUUUUUAGGUAUACGCGAUCGCAGGUUUAAAUUAAAAUCUUUUGUGUACGAUGAUGAUUAUAAAAUAUAAAUAUUACCAAGCUAGUUUUGUCGAAGUUUGUGAUCGAAAAUUUCAUUUUUCAAGACGCCCUCAAAUUUGUAUUUUUAUUUCAAAAUUGGUUAAACUUUUCACCCAACUAACACUCAUACAUUAAAUUAGAGAUUUGAAUAAAUAUCUUAGAAUAUUUGCAGGUUUUUUUACAACAUGGAACAAUAAAAGAUUGUGCUCGAAAGUAUACAGUUAAUACUGUUUUUUUUUUCUUUAAAUUUUAUAAUGUCACGACAGCAGAAGCUAUGACAAUGUCGGGUGAAAAGGUAGUCUAACUCAUCUAGCAGCCCCCGAUUUCUCUCUGUUUUAUCUGUGUAUAGACGAUCAGGAUUCAUCAUCUUUGCUGGCUUCCAGACACAAUCUGAAGGCAAUUGGAACGAGCCGCUAUUCCAAAACGAAUCGCGAACCGGCUUCGUUUUUCUAAAACAUCAUCUACUCGCCGGAACGUUGGGGUCGUCAGCGCGUGCGACUUUGAUGAUGAUCGCCCGAAGGAUCAAUUAUGGCCCCGUCUCUCUUUGCUAUUGCGAGCUUUCAAAUUUGUACCGUACAGCCUCGUUUGUUCCACAGUUGACGAGAGAUGCUUGUAUAGCUGGUUCCAGCAACGUGGUCGUUCAAGGCGAUUCGAAAACAAGCGAGCCAGUCUUUUGAGGCAGACGCUGAAAACCGGAUCUGUUUCCCCGAAUGCCGAGGCGGUGAUCCUCGUGCUACCUAUGCCACCAUAUUAACCGGCGAUCGACUCGACAAAGACCUCCCAAUAAUGUUUCUCUGUCUGAACCUUCUUUUUGCUUCUUUUCGAUUCGGCGGUGUCAAAGGCGCGAGAGGGAAAAAAAAAUGCGAAUGAAAUAUUGUCUUUACGGUCGAACAGGCUGUAACUUCCAAUCGAGAGGUGUAUAGAUAGAACAGAUAGAGAAGUAAUCGUUUAAUAAAUUGAUACGGAUAAUGUUCACUGUGUAAACUGGAAAUUCCCAAAUUCGAAUUCAUUUCAGAAUGAGUAAUUGUAAGGUCCGGGAAUGAAUUUGUAGGUACUUUGUCAUUUGAAAGUAUUCAAUUUCAGAAAAACAGUAUUCUGCAAAACAAGAAAUUAUCAUGUACUGACGAGAGAUGGAAAGAAUAUUAGGCAAAGAAAUGCGGGUACGAUUGGUCGGAGUCGGUACGUCACGCCUCACGCGCAUGCGUUCUAGAUUAUCGCGCGCUAUUGGCCAGUGCGAUCACACAUUAAUCGCGUCGCCUGACAAAGAAAAGUGAGAUGGUCGAAGUCAGCGGGACAGGGCGGAGCGUGCGAAGUAUUCCCUUUGCCCCUGUGCCGUCCCGCUAAUAUUCUUUCCAUCUCUACACUGUACAUAUGUAGGUACACUCGCGAUCAAAUCAGGCUUUCCUACAGAAAAUAGCGAUAUAGGGGAAACAGGAAUUCUCGAAACCUUAAUUUUGACGAUGUUAACAUUAAAAAUGAUUUAGAAACAAGAUAAUAUAGUUUUUAAUUAUUAAAUAUAAAAUUUAAUACAUAACUGAGAAACAUGUUCCAAUUUUCCCGCGUAAAUAUUUAGACACAAAUGAUAGAGCCACAGUAGGUAUACCUCCUCUACUUCGCCAGUUCUCCGCGGGAAAACUAUGGGAAAGCCUGAUUUGAUCGUGAGUGUACAUAUUAGGCUGUCGCAUAUAAGUUGACGAAUUUCGAAACAUAGAAAGUUUAACGUGAUUUCAUGACAUAAAGGUAUUAGAAAAUGACUAUAUAAAUGAUUCAUCGAUAUUCCAAAUAAAAAUUGCCUGAUUCUUUAUUGAAAGUUGAACAUCAACAAUAUUAUAUACGGGAAUUGAUUCUUGGAGCAACCAAACUACAGUGGUACCUCGGUAUAUGUACAUCUGCUUUGGAAUACGUCCAAUUCGAAAUACGUCCUGUUUGGACGUGAUAAAUUUUGCUCGGUAUACAACAUAAAUUUUUUGUGUGAAUUUUGCAUCAUUUUUAAAUAAUUAUCUCAGAGGAAAAAUUAAAUUAAUAAUUAAUUAUAUUCGGAGUUGAUGUAUUAUUAACAUACAAGUAAGGAUAUCAUAUAACAAAAUAUGGGAAAGGUUCGUUUGGUAUACGUCCUAUUCGGUAUAAGACCAAAUAUCAGGAACGGAUUAAGGUCGUAUAUCGAUGUUACCACUGUAUUUUGUUUUAAGAAUAUUGAUAAAAUCUUUAACACUGAUUUUCAUCGAACCUCAAGUUAAUAUAUCACAAGUGGUUAUUUGCAAUAUUUUUAUGUCCUCAAAUCACGUUAGACGUUCUGUGUUUCAAACCCCGUAAUUUGACGAAUAGAUACAGAAUACCUACACUAUAAUUUCGCAUAUAUCAUAUGAAUUACCUAAAUAUUAAUAAACAAAAGAUUAGUACCUGAAGAUAUUUUUUUUUUUUUUUAAUUUAGGGGUUUUUGUCGCAUCAACUACAAGGUUAUUAACGACAUCAAAGAGUAAUUAAAGCUUACAUUAUCUCUUCUAUCAGUUUGGUAUCUUUUAUAAAUUUAAGUAAGUCUUGAAUUUUACUGUUUUUUAAGUUGUCCUUGAGUGAAGAUCCUAGUUUAUAUUUGGAGGAAAUCAUAUUUAGUAAAGUGGAGAAUUAAAUGAUCUAUGGAUAUUACAGAGUCAUAUUUCUUGAUCUACAAUACACAUAAAAGGUUCAAAUGUACUUGUUCAAGAUUCCAUUAUAUUUGAACGUACUUCGAAGUAUUUUUUGAACCUAUCUUGCCUAAGUUUAUGUACAAGCGUUGCUUCUAUUUUCCGAGGUACUCAUGCUUGCAAUUUACUUGGAUCCGAUCUUUAGCCACGUCCGUUUGGUCGUUACCGAAGAGACUGGUUAAACGUUCGAUGGUGGUCGUCGUGAAUGGGGAGAUGUAAUCGUACCGAGCUAUCGUUCAAGUUUUACGUCUGUUCAGGAAAUUGGUGUCACUUGGCGGGACGAGUAACAGCUGACGAGGAUUAACCUCUUGCCUUAUGAUUUUCUCAGCAAUUGCAUCUGUUAGGGCUAAUCAUUCACUGUGAUGUUACAGCAAAAUGAAGAAAGCUGAAAUAACAUGUCAUUUCAUAAAUAAUCUUAUUUCUUUAUUUUGAUUACUUAUAAAAAUUUAUCUUCCUCAUAUUUUAACACUUACGAAUCACUUAAUAAGUAUCUACAUGCUGUAGCUGGUGAAUUGCUUUAAUUUAAAUUUGCAGGGUCAUUAGUGUUUAUUUUUGAACAAUUUUCAAACACAAAUUAUUUUCAAGGAAAUAAGGUGACACGGAUUGUCACACCGGUUGAAAGUUUUCUAAAGUAUAUUGCUUGGAACAACGUCGAACGUCCAAAGGUGACCGGUAAAAUUGCUCACGAAAGAAAUUUAUUGCUUUUGCAACGAGUAAAAUUUUAACACACAGCGCGUCAAAUAGUGAAUAGAAGAAAAAUUAAUACCUCUGUUCUUCCCAUUUACCUUUUCUUUUGAUAAGGUUUGACACAUAUUAUAUUUUAUUAAAAUUUGAAAUAAAAUAAAAUAGUAAAAAAUUAAAUGCAAAAUUUAAAUAGGUUAAAUAAAAAGAAAAAAAAUACAAAUAUAUAGGAUUCAAAGGAAUAUUAUCUUCAUUAGGUACUGGCCAUAUAGGUAGAGCCAAAAAGAACAGCAUAAUUAGGUACUUAUGUAUGUUUAUCAGAUUCUUCAAGUCGAUUUCUCAGUCUCUUCGGUGGGGUCGUUAACGCCUCAGAUUACGACUAUGGUCGAAGAAUAAAGUCCUAAUAGAAUCCCACAGACGACCAUUCUCGUAAAGUGUAUUUGCAUGUACGUCUGUAUCAUUCGAACAGUAUUCGGCAAACAAGUUCCUCGACGACCGGUAUUACAGCAUCGGUAAACAGUAUUUCGUGAAACUCUGUCGGCUUGAAAGCGUAUUUGAAGCACAUUAUGUAAAUCGCGUGCGACACUGUAGUGUUUGGGGAGGUCGGACCAUCCAGGUAAAAUGGACUUUAAAGUCUGGUCAUACAGGAUGCGACCAAAGAGCGUGGUGUAAUACUUGUUCAAAUUAUAGAAUAAAUUCCUUCCAUACGACAUACCAUUUUCCGUAAAAAUCACAUUUUUCUAAUACAUUUAUAGUCCCGUCACCCAUAUAUAGAUCACAAUAGAUACAAUCAGACGCCAAAAUUAUUCUCAAAAUAGUAUUCUUUUAUUAUAAACAAUAAUAUAUUCUAAUAGGUAGUUAAUAAAAUGUUGUUGACUAGCUUGAUAUUGCACGUUUAAUUACCAACAUUAAAUAUGCAGUUACGUGCUCAGUCGCCAACAUUUAAACGUUCAAAAACGAUAAUAAACUUCAAUAUCAUUUCUUCCGCUUUCAAUAUAGAAAAUAGGAGAUAAUUAGGCGAAGACUUGCAAGCAAGUACAGUGGGUGAUCAAAUUAUUAUGAACAGAUGGAAAACUUGCAUAUUUUAUGUUUCCGAUGCUAUUAUGUAUUCCAUAAAAUAUCCUUUUUACCAAAAACCGUAACAGCCUGCUUAACUAAUAAAAAAAUUCAAGUUUCACCGUGGCCUGGAAAUUCACCAUAUAUGAACCCAAUAGAAAAUCUUUGGGAAUUAUUAAAGCGUCGAUGUGCUUAUUGUUAGGUGUAUAAGUCUACUUGAUGACGAAUAGAGGGAACAUCAUUAUGCCUUGUUUAAAUGCGAACAUAUUGUACAAUACCCAAUGAGCCGAGAAAUCAUAGAAAGUGUCCAUUCAGCCCUGCGCAAUCGAGCAAAAAAGAGGAUGCCGAGUCAUAGCUGUGUGGUGGUUCCAAUAAGAGUUGGAUCCUCUUCUUCAUCUUAUCGAUUAUUAUCAGACCGACUGCGUUAUAAUAAACAAGCUUAACCUGGCGAAAACCCCUCGUUGAAAAUAACAAAGCAAAUAAUUCGUUGGAAAAGAUAAAGGGAAACGAAGUUAGGUGUAUACGCAGCAGCAAUUAAAUUCUCAUUAGAUCUUUCUGUGGUUGCAAAAAGCGCGUGGGUCUCAGCGCGAGAAAAGAGGUUCCGAAGGUGACAUCAUCGACGAAUUUAACCUGUUAAUAUACGAAGACGAAAUAACUCGUCGUUUGAAAAUACUUGUUUACUUGUUUGGGAAAGACGAAUUGACUCGUCGCCAGUAUUAAGAAAAUGAGAAAAUGCAAAUAUAAUUCGAGAAGUGAUCAAGAACGUAUGCACUAAAUUGCUGCGGUUAAAUUUAAUGAACAAUCAGUGCCAUUUUAUAGCCCUAAUUAAAUUUGGAUAGGUUAGAAAAUAGGAGAGAGUGUCCUUUGUACAAGGAAUAUUAAAUGUCGAUGGAAAUUAUAAUCUUCUUUUUUACAAAAUUAAUUUAACCCUUUAACUGCUGAGUACUCUAGGCUUAAACGUUCUGUGUGUACAAAAUAAGGAUUAAGUUGAUAACACUUAUCAUUUUUUUCUUUUUUAUUUCCCUUUAUUUCUCAAUUUAUUUAUUUAUUUAUUUUUUCAUUAUUUUAUCACAUUAUUAUACUUAAUCUGAUAACAUGAUGUGUAAUUAGUAACAUGUAUUGAUAACUUUUGAUUAUGAUUAUGUUCAUACUCAGCAUCGAUAACUUUCUCCUGACGUCCAUAGCAGUCAAAGGGUUGAAUGUUUGAUUUAGAAGCAUUAGGAACUUGGGCUCUAUUUUACUCCAAGACCUGAGAAUUCCGAUCUUCUAACGCUCUUGAACGGAUACAGAGACGAUAUAACUUAUGUUGAAACUGCGUUAAACGAUGCGUCUCAUUAUUUAGCCCAAACGAAUUUAUAUUGUCUCUUAUUGGUUUAGAUUGCUGCGUAUCAAAAGGCGAACUUCGAAACAUACAAAGUCUCACAUGAUUUAAUACCGUAACUCAGAGUUUAUCUUACUUCAUUUUAUUCUAAAUCAACUCCAGUAAAUAAAUUUUAAAAAAGACCUCUAAAAAUUUAUCUUGAAAAUAAAUUAUACUCUUUAUUAAAAUUGCGUGUUAAUUAAAAAUGUAAAAAAAAAGAAAUUACGAGUACGAUUGUUAUAAUUGUCAAAAGUUGUUCUGAUCGUUUUUGGUAAACCCUUUACGGGUUACGUUGAAAUUGAUCGAAAGUCCGGGAGAAGAAAGAAGACAUAGGAGAAGAAAAAGAAGAUUCGUGCAGCCGAAGAAGGUGGCCGAACCACCGUGGCGCCGUUCACAUUUCAUUAAGUGUGAUGCUCGAGGAAACUACCUGUGUACGAGCUUUAACGCUUCCCCUUGGCGGAGGGAGAGAAAAAGAGAUAGCAACAGUCCAGCUCUCAGCAGCCAAGAUAAACGUGAUAGAACGGAGAAGAGAAGAGAAGAGAAGAGAAUGAAGCAUGUAGGAGAGAAAGGAAGAGAACGGGAACAGAAGCUUCUCACGGAACGAGUUGGAACGGAACAUGGAGUGACUAUACGAUCCACUGUUAACCCUUUGUUUUAUGAGUUUUUCGAAAGUUAUGUUCGCCGCGUUGUCCUGAAUUUCAAGCACGCUUUAAGAAGACGAAUAGAUGCUUACACGCGUCGCUGGACGAUAUUGUCUUCCCGUUUUUACAAUCUUUCUCUCUCUCUCUCUCUCUCUUUUUUUAAUCUAAAAGGGAAGAAAAAUAUUUUUAUAGUUUAAUUUAGGUGUACUUUUUGUUGAGAAUAUAUAGACAUACUGAAUUAUUCCAGUAAUGGAAGAAUAGGGAAAGGGUUGGUCCUAAUUGAGAAAAUAAAUAAAAAUUAUAGAAUAAUAUUUUUUUAAUAUACAAUUUCGGUUUAGAGAAAAUUGUGCAAGAAAGGAAUAAACUUUUAUUUGAAUAUUUCAUAACAGAAAGAUGAAAAUUAAAAAAUAUAUUUAUAUGUUACUGAAAUGAUACUGUUUACGCAGGAUAAUAAGUGGAAAGCUUAAGUUAAAAAAUAAGGUGAUCAUGUGCUGAGUAAUUAUAAUUACAAUGUAUCUCACUGUACACUUGCGAUCAAAUCAGGCUUUCUCAGGGAAAGUGGCGAUAUAGGGAAAGUAGGAAUUCUCAAAAUCUUAAUUUUGAUGAUAUUAAUAUUAAAAGCAAUUUAGAAAGCAAAUAAUAUAAUUUUUAAUUUUGUAAAAUAUAAAAAGAACACGUCUAAUUGUAAGUAAUAAUCUUGUGAGAAAUAUUAGCUUAUUUUAAUGGUAUUAAUGAAUACAUUUAUUAAUUUAUGAUAUUUAUCAAGCAUUGCAUUUGCAUUACUGAAGAAAUUGUUGAAGUUAUCACGUUUAUCAAACAUUUAUUUUAAACAAUUUUCAAAUUCAUCAUCAGUGUUCUCUAAAACGAAGUUCAAUAUAUGUAAAUAGAUUCUAUGCUAUGAGCAUCUUUAUGAUGGUGAAAUUUGUGAAUCAUGAUUGAAAAUGAACAGUAAUGAAGCGUUGCGUUCAUUGUACACAUCUCUUGAAUUCUUUUCAUCACUCUGACUACUAAGUAGUUUCCUUGUUUUUUUUAUUUUGUAUCUGCUGAUUCGUCACGAGCAUCGAUAAAUUAGGCUCAAGAACCGCAAACCUGGCGUGAUCAGUAUUCUAUUAGAUGCAAACGGUUGUUCCAAUUCUGUAGUAGGACGUCUUAAAAUAGUCGUUUCGACUAAAAGUAUCAUCGAAAAUGAAAAGCGAAAUUUUUUUUUUUUAAUGUUUCAACGUGUUGACUUCCAUGUCAUCCACUUAUUGAAUGUCGCUUGAAUUUUCAUAGGAAUCCAUCACUUACAUACGUUAUUAGAAAUUUUUCUACUUGUCUGAUUAGAAAUACUCGUAUUAGGUACCUACUUAAGAUUAUAGGCAAUAGAAAUUGAAAUAUUGUGAAAAAAAUAAUUAGUUACUUUUUAAUUAAUUACAAUUUUUAGAAUUGAGGAUUGCUAGAGAAAAUCCGAUGUAUGUAAUAUGUUAUAUGUCUUUCCCUAUGGUAUUUUAAAUAACGAAUAAUUAAUUCCAGUAGAUACAGCUAUCAAAUAAAAUUGUAAGACAGAAGGAUUAACGUGAUUUAAUUAAUAUUCUUUACCAUUUAAUUACAAGGAACACACGUGUAAAAUAAUAUCGGUUUUUCGAUAAUCGAUUAAAUUAUUCGGUUCACGAUAAAGUAUCGCAUGAAAAUAUUAAAUCAAAAUCAGACUUUUAACUGCAGGAAAUCUUCUGUCGACACGCAUCGUAGAUGGCACGGAUUCGAAUCAGAAACUCUAGAUAUCCGCCUUGGCGUGUUUCCAAUUCCUCUGCCACCAUCAAUUUACUGUUUGUCGUGGACGUGCGUUAGCUACUCGUUUAGGAACAUCGUGUUCUUUAUUAUUUUUCAGCUCGCAAAAGCUCCGCUUGUUCCGUUUUCUCGUUAAAUUCGAGGGAGAAAAAUUUACGAUGCUGUAAGAGCGCUCUGUUUUUCCUUUCUGUGUAUAGUUUUCAACCACAGUACGCGUGUCACUAUGCAUAACUAUUUAUUCAGUGAUUCUGAAAAAAAGUAUUUUACAUAAUUGAAUGUCUUUAAUAACAUCAUUAUAUUGAUAGCUCAGUUUCUUUUUUUCUAUUUAUCAUUGAUGGUUUGUACAUCAUGGAACUACGUAAAAUGUCUAAUUUCAUUCAUUGUAUUUUAUUUGAGUUCAUGAAAUUUUACAAUUGAGAUAUGUAUAUCAUACAAAAGUUCAGAACUUUCAAACACAACUGGAAAAAAACAAUUUCAGUUUGUCAAAAAACAUGACAACUUUAACAAUUUCUUCAGUAAUGCAAAUAUUAUAAAUUAAUAAAUGCAAUUAUUAAUAACAUUAAAAUAUUUCUCACGAGAUUAUUACCAAAACGUGUUCUUUUUACGAGAAUUUAUUAAUUUCUAAUCUAUUAAUUUCAUGUUUUAUCAAUACAUUUAAUUGUUCAAUGGUUAAUUAAAUGUACAGCCUCGAGCAAAAUAAGUUUUCUCAAGGAAAAUGACGAUAUAGGGAAAGCAAGAAUUCUCAGAAUCUUAAUUUUUACAGUAUUAACAUAAAAAAUGAUUUAGAAACAAAGUAAUGUAAUUUUUAACUAUUAAACAUAAAAUUUAAUAUAUAAUUGAGAAAUGUGUUCAGAUUUUCCCAUAUAAAGGUUUAGACGCAAGUGAUAAGGCUACAAAACUUAUACAUGGGAGUUACCUCCCAUAUAUUGCCAGUUCCCCUUGGGAAACCUACGGUGAUUGGUACUGUAGAUUUUACAACUUAUCUGAUAGCAAGAUUUAAAAAAUAUGUAUUAAUAGUUUUAUUAAUGGUAUUUAAACAUACUUAUGUCUGUAACAAUUUUGAUGAGAUUCAUAUACAUUCAGUACGUUAUGUUUGCUAAAGAAAACUAUUUUAUUAUGUUUGAUUACCUUAGAAUGGUUAUCAGAAAAAGUAAUAUAUUUAAUAUUACUUAAAUUAAGUGCAUACUUUUUACUAUAUAGAGGUUUUUAAUUGAAUUUUUAAUUUUAAUUUUACGUCGUUAUUUUUUUUAUUGAAGUUCAACAAUGUAAAUGAAAUUUAGCCUACUUGAAAAAUGUAGAAUGCACGAAGUGGACGAUAACGUUGCUGCUUUACGUAACAGAUGGUACGUGCACAGUGGCAUUAAUGAAAUUUAAUAAUAUGAUUUUAUUCUCGAGCAAAUAAAUCAUGCAAUCGUAUUGCAAAAUUAUUUCGGGAUACGAGAUAUUGUAGCCGUUCUAAAAAAAGAAGUCAGACGACGGUGUUUUUUUAUUAACAGACGAUCUCUAAUUGACAUGCUCCGAACGCCCACUUUGAUUUGCAUUUUUAAUUUCUCUUUUAUUAUGUUUCUUCACUUUCGAUUUUUGUGGGAACCGAAUCGUUUUUCAAUGAUUCUUUAUAUAUUUUCAGACGCCAUAAAUUAUCAGAUAUUGUUUCCUUUCAAGAUUUAAUAUUAAUCUACUGCAUUUAAAUUUUGUUCGCUUCUCAGAAAACUAACAUAACAGAAAUAUAAAUUAAGAGUUAAAUUUUAAUUUAUGAAUAGUUAUAAAGAUAUCGUUUGUAAUUUGGACAUAAUUUAUAGAGAAAAAUAAGUAUGCACACAGAGCAGAUGAGAUUGCAUUUUCUGUGUAAGUUAAUUAGGACAGGAGAAAUGCAAAACGUGAUAAAAAAAUUUAUUGAUAUUUUUAACUCUGAAAACCAGAAUAAUCUUUUCAAUGAUGCGGGUUGUAAACUAAACAUUUUAAUUAUCAUUACAAUAUUAACUAUAAGGUAUAAAGUUUAAUUAUUUUCGUCGUAAAUAAUGAAACGAAAUCUUUGGGAAUACCCCCCUUUAUUAAACAAAGAAUUAUGAAUUUUGAAAAAAACAGUCCAUAACACUUCAUUUGGUCCACUUUGUAUAUUUAUUCCCUAUACAUAGAGUGUUCCAUCAAACUGGACAAAAUCUGAAAAACCUUUAUUGAAAUUGUGUUCUUUAUUAUACAUCAGUCAAAGCGUUUUUUAAUUCUUUACAAAAAAAUAUUAAGUACUUGGAUCGAAAAUUGAUAAGUUCGAAAAAUAUUUUAGGGAGAGACAGGGGGAGUCCAUUGGUCUCUUUGUAAGAUAUCUUUUUUUCUGUAGGAAAUAAAAUGACGCUUCGAUCGACGUAUGGAAAAGUAUAUAGUUCUAUAAGAAAAAAAAAAAAAAAAA